GAUGAACGCUGGCGGCGUGCCUAAUACAUGCAAGUCGAGCGAACAGACGAGGAGCUUGCUCCUCUGACGUUAGCGGCGGACGGGUGAGUAACACGUGGAUAACCUACCUAUAAGACUGGGAUAACUUCGGGAAACCGGAGCUAAUACCGGAUAAUAUAUUGAACCGCAUGAUUCAAUAGUGAAAGACGGUUUUGCUGUCACUUAUAGAUGGAUCCGCGCCGCAUUAGCUAGUUGGUAAGGUAACGGCUUACCAAGGCAACGAUGCGUAGCCGACCUGAGAGGGUGAUCGGCCACACUGGAACUGAGACACGGUCCAGACUCCUACGGGAGGCAGCAGUGGGAAUCUUCCGCAAUGGGCGAAAGCCUGACGGAGCAACGCCGCGUGAGUGAUGAAGGUCUUCGGAUCGUAAAACUCUGUUAUUAGGGAAGAACAAAUGUGUAAGUAACUAUGCACGUCUUGACGGUACCUAAUCAGAAAGCCACGACUAACUACGUG
rnacentral:rRNA from 1 species